AAAUUGUUACAAACUUACAAUGCAUGGAGAAAACAUAGAAAUGUACGAAAAGAAAAUCCCAAUCCUUUUGCAUUAUUUCUCAAUAUCAAGAGUACUUAAUUUUUUCUAGUGAUUAUGUUGAGAUUUCCUAUAAAGUUCUCUUCUUUUUUUCAAGAAAUCCACAACUCUAUUGUAAUCGGGGACAUUGUCUUUGAUCACAGGGCGUUCGCUGAAAUGCCUGACCCAGGCAUGCAGGCGUGGGAAGCUAUCGGCUUUAAUGAACUUUACUCGCCCCACCACCUCUUCCAUGGGUGCCAACAUAUGAAUAACCAUUCCAAAAACAAGGUCAGCGACGCCAAUUUGGUCGCCACCGAAGAACUUUUUUGUCUCUAAGACCAUGUUCCUCUCGUCCUCAGAAUUUCAUAGUUGUUCUCGAUUGCCUUCUGCUGUUCUUCACCGAAUUUACGAAAGAAUUCCCACAUUGGUUGAGUCUGCAACCUUAUAUUAAUAAGGUUAGGAUCAAAUAUUACUGGUCUGCUAGUGGUUUGAGACUAGAUCCCUAGAUUCGAGGGGGUGAAAUUGGCUUUAAAAUGGAUUAAUUCGAGUUUUAAAUUUUUUUUAUCAUUUUGGAUUACUUGUUUUGGCCAUUUUGGGUUCGAUUUUAUACACCAAACAAAACAUUAAUUAUUGGCAAAAAAAAAUUUUUUUAUUGUUACAAACAUACAAUGCAUAAAAAAAAAGUAAAAAUGCUACAAGAAAAAGAACAAUCAAUCCUUUUGCAUUAUUUCCCAAUUUUUAGUUCUUAAACGAUCAAAAGUACCUUCUUUCUUUCUUUUUUCUAGCUAUUCUGUUGAGAAUUCCUACAAAAUUCUCUUCUUAUCUUCAAGAAAUCAACAACUUUAGUGUAAUCAGGGACAUUGUCUUUGAUCACAGGGUGUUCGCUGAAAUGCUUGGCCCAAGCAUGCAGGCGUGGGAAGCUAUCGGCUUUAAUAAACUUAUAUCCCACCACCUCUUCCAUAGGCGCCAACAUAUGAAUAAUCAUUCCAAAAACAAGAUCAGCUAUGCCAAUUUGGUCGCCACCAAAGAACUUUUUGUCUCCAAGACCAUGUUCCUCAAUCGUCCUCAGAAUUUCAUAGUUGUUCUCGAUUGCCUUCUGCUGUUCUUCGCCGAAUUUACGAAAAAAUUCCCACAUUGGUUGAGUCUGCAAACUUAAG
rnacentral:lncRNA from 1 species